UAGCAACGGUCGGAUUUUUCUCUUAGUUCAAAUAAGAUUAGCUUUCUAAAAAUAAAUAUGACUAAUAGAAAUAAAUAUGAAAAAAGCUAAAGUCCUAUUGGAGGUAUAUCUUGACUCCUAUAUCAACAUUACCUUUUUGUCGAUCUAUCUGAUUCUUCUUGGAUUGAAAGAUACAUCAGGUCAAAAUCUUUUCUAAAAAAAAUUGUGGAUAGAUCAACCUAUUUGGGGUCCAAAUGAUAGAAUUUCAACAUAUUUUAACCUUUUAAAAUGUUAGC
rnacentral:lncRNA from 1 species